AUUGAACGCUGGCGGCAUGCUUUACACAUGCAAGUCGAGCGGUAACAGGCCUUCGGGUGCUGACGAGUGGCGAACGGGUGAGUAAUGCAUCGGAACGUACCCAGAGGUGGGGGAUAACGCAGCGAAAGCUGUGCUAAUACCGCAUGUGAUCUGAGGAUGAAAGCGGGGGACCGAGCAGCAAUGUUUGGCCUCGCGCCUUUGGAGCGGCCGAUGUCGGAUUAGCUAGUUGGUGGGGUAAAGGCCUACCAAGGCGACGAUCUGUAGCUGGUCUGAGAGGACGACCAGCCACACUGGGACUGAGACACGGCCCAGACUCCUACGGGAGGCAGCAGUGGGGAAUUUUGGACAAUGGGCGCAAGCCUGAUCCAGCAAUGCCGCGUGCGGGAAGAAGGCCUUCGGGUUGUAAACCGCUUUUGGCAGGAACGAAACGGUGUCCGCUAAUACCGGGCGCUAAUGACGGUACCUGCAGAAUAAGCACCGGCUAACUACGUG
rnacentral:rRNA from 1 species